rnacentral:SRP_RNA from 1 species
GAGCAGGACCCGCGCGGCGCACCGCCGUGAACCCGGUCAGGGUCGGAAGACAGCAGCCGUAAGCGGAAUGUUGCGGGUGAUGCGGACAAUCCUGCUCCCC